AGUGAACGCUGGCGGCAGGCCUAAUACAUGCAAGUCGAACGGCAGCACAGCAGAGCUUGCUCUGUGGGUGGCGAGUGGCGGACGGGUGAGGGAAUACAUGGGAAUCUGCCCAGUCGUGGGGGAUAACGUAUGGAAACGUACGCUAAUACCGCAUGCGCCCUACGGGGGAAAGUCGGGACCGCAAGGCCUGACGCGAUUGGAUGAGCCCAUGUUCGAUUAGCUAGUUGGCGGGGUAAAGGCCCACCAAGGCGACGAUCGAUAGCUGGUCUGAGAGGAUGAUCAGGCCACACUGGAACUGAGACACGGUCCAGACUCCUACGGGAGCAGCAGUAGGGAAUAUUGGACAAUGGGGGCAACCCUGAUCCAGCCAUGCCGCGUGAGUGAAGAAGGCCCUCGGGUUGUAAAGCUCUUUUGUCCGGAAAGAAAAGCAUCUGGUUAAUACCCGGGUGUUCUGACGGUACCGGAAGAAUAAGCACCGGCUAACUUCGUGC
rnacentral:rRNA from 1 species